GACGAACGCUGGCGGCGUGCUUAACACAUGCAAGUCGAACGAAGUGGCGAACGGGUGAGUAACGCGUCAUCAACCUGCCCUUCAGAGGGGGCCAACAGUUGGCAACGACUGCUAAUACCGCAUACUGAAGGAGGGGAGUGCGUCUGAUUAGGUAGUUGGAGGGGGUACGUCCCACCAAGGCGAUGAUCAGUAGCCGGUCUGAGAGGAUGAACGGCCACAUGGGGACGGAGACACGGCUCAGACUCCUAAGGGAGGCAGGAGUGGGGAAUCUUUCGAAAUUGAGGAAAGGCUGACGGAGCAACGGCGCGUGAGUGAUGAAGGCCUUCGGGUUGUAAAGCUAUGUUAAUCGGGACGCGGUACCGGAAUAGAAAGCCACGGCUAACUACGUGCCAGCAGCCGCGGUAAUUC
rnacentral:rRNA from 1 species